AUCGAGCAGAGGGAAAAGGAGCAAUCCGCUUUGAGAUGGCCUCGCGUCCGAUUAGCUAGUUGGUGAGGUAACGGCCCACCAAGGCAACGAUCGGUAGCCGGACUGAGAGGUUGAACGGCCACAUUGGGACUGAGACACGGCCCAGACUCCUACGGGAGGCAGCAGUGGGGAAUAUUGCACAAUGGGGGAAACCCUGAUGCAGCGACGCCGCGUGGAGGAAGAAGGUCUUCGGAUUGUAAACUCCUGUUGUUGGGGAAGAUAAUGACGGUACCCAACAAGGAAGUGACGGCUAACUACGUGCCAGCAGCCGCGGUAAAACGUAGGUCACAAGCGUUGUCCGGAAUUACUGGGUGUAAAGGGAGCGCAGGCGGGAAGACAAGUUGGAAGUGAAAUCUAUGGGCUCAACCCAUAAACUGCUUUCAAAACUGUUUUUCUUGAGUAGUGCAGAGGUAGGCGGAAUUCCCGGUGUAGCGGUGGAAUGCGUAGAUAUCGGGAGGAACACCAGUGGCGAAGGCGGCCUACUGGGCACCAACUGACGCUGAGGCUCGAAAGUGUGGGUAGCAAACAGGAUUAGAUACCCUGGUAGUCCACACCGUAAACGAUGAUUACUAGGUGUUGGAGGAUUGACCCCUUCAGUGCCGCAGUUAACACAAUAAGUAAUCCACCUGGGGAGUACGACCGCAAGGUUGAAACUCAAAGGAAUUGACGGGGGCCCGCACAAGCAGUGGAGUAUGUGGUUUAAUUCGACGCAACGCGAAGAACCUUACCAAGUCUUGACAUCCCUUGACAGACAUAGAAAUAUGUAAUCUCUUCGGAGCAAGGAGACAGGUGGUGCAUGGUUGUCGUCAGCUCGUGUCGUGAGAUGUUGGGUUAAGUCCCGCAACGAGCGCAACCCUUAUGGUCAGUUACUACGCAAGAGGACUCUGGCCAGACUGCCGUUGACAAAACGGAGGAAGGUGGGGAUGACGUCAAAUCAUCAUGCCCUUUAUGACUUGGGCUACACACGUACUACAAUGGCGUUAAACAAAGAGAAGCAAGACCGCGAGGUGGAGCAAAACUCAGAAACAACGUCCCAGUUCGGACUGCAGGCUGCAACUCGCCUGCACGAAGUCGGAAUUGCUAGUAAUCGUGGAUCAGCAUGCCACGGUGAAUACGUUCCCGGGCCUUGUACACACCGCCCGUCACACCAUGAGAGCCGGGGGGACCCGAAGUCGGUAGUCUAACCGCAAGGAGGACGCCGCCGAAGGUAAAACUGGUGAUUGGGGUGAAGUCGUAACAAGGU
rnacentral:rRNA from 1 species